GCCGAGGUGGCGGAAUUGGUAGACGCGCUAGCUUCAGGUGCUAGUGGCCUUUCGGUCGUGCGAGUUCAAGUCUCGCCCUCGGCACCA
rnacentral:tRNA from 1 species